rnacentral:misc_RNA from 1 species
AAGUCGUAACAAGGUUUCCGUAGGUGAACCUGCGGAAGGAUCAUUAACACGUAUCCACGUAACAACCAAACGCGAAUUCGUUUUCAACUUCUCCCUAGCGACUCAGUCGCUAGGCAUACGUUUUAAACAUUUUCCACACACACUUUUGCUAGUUGACUUUUUUACGAUGCAAUGCCUUGCGCGUUGUACACGUUCAUUCUAAAUGAAUUAAAAAACAACUCUUAGCAAUGGAUAUCUUGGUUCUC